rnacentral:rRNA from 1 species
AGUAACGGCGAGUGAAGCGGCAACAGCUCAAAUUUGAAAUCUGGCGUCUUUGGCGUCCGAGUUGUAAUUUGCAGAGGGCGCUUUGGCAUUGGCAGCGGUCCAAGUUCCUUGGAACAGGACGUCACAGAGGGUGAGAAUCCCGUACGUGGUCGCUAGCCUUUACCGUGUAAAGCCCCUUCGACGAGUCGAGUUGUUUGGGAAUGCAGCUCUAAAUGGGAGGUAAAUUUCUUCUAAAGCUAAAUACUGGCCAGAGACCGAUAGCGCACAAGUAGAGUGAUCGAAAGAUGAAAAGCACUUUGGAAAGAGAGUUAAAAAGCACGUGAAAUUGUUGAAAGGGAAGCGCUUGCAGCCAGACUUGCCUGUAGUUGCUCAUCCGGGUUUUUACCCGGUGCACUCUUCUAUAGGCAGGCCAGCAUCAGUUUGGGCGGUUGGAUAAAGGUCUCUGUCACGUACCUCCUCUCGGGGAGAACUUAUAGGGGAGACGUAAUGCAACCAGCCUGGACUGAGGUCCGCGCAUCUGCUAGGAUGCUGGCGUAAUGGCUGUAAGCGGCCCGUCUUGAAACACGGACCAAGGAGUCUAACAUCUAUGCGAGUGUUUGGGUGUCAAGCCCGAGCGCGUAAUGAAAGUGAACGGAGGUGGGAACCUUUCGGGGUGCACCAUCGACCGAUCCUGAUGUCUUCGGAUGGAUUUGAGUAAGAGCAUAGCUGUUGGGACCCGAAAGAUGGUGAACUAUGCUUGAAUAGGGUGAAGCCAGAGGAAACUCUGGUGGAGGCUCGCAGCGGUUCUGACGUGCAAAUCGAUCGUCAAAUUUGGGCAUAGGGGCGAAAGACUAAUCGAACUAUCUAGUAGCUGGUUCCUGCCGAAGUUUCCCUCAGGAUAGCAGUAACGUUUUCAGUUUUAUGAGGUAAAGCGAAUGAUUAGAGGCCUGGGGGUUGAAACAACCUUCACCUAUUCUCAAACUUUAAAUAUGUAAGAAGUCCUUGUUACUUAAUUGAACGUGGACAGUUGAAUGUAUCGUUACUAGUGGGCCAUUUUUGGUAAGCAGAACUGGCGAUGCGGGAUGAACCGAACGCGGGGUUAAGGUGCCAGAAUAUACGCUCAUCAGACACCACAAAAGGUGUUAGUUCAUCUAGACAGCAGGACGGUGGCCAUGGAAGUCGGAAUCCGCUAAGGAGUGUGUAACAACUCACCUGCCGAAUGAACUAGCCCUGAAAAUGGAUGGCGCUCAAGCGUAUUACCCAUACCCCGCCGCUGGGGCAAGAUUUAAGCCCCAGCGAGUAGGCAGGCGUGGAGGUCCGUGACGAAGCC